rnacentral:misc_RNA from 1 species
AUAUUAACUCAUUACUGGCAUCCUCCCAGCUUUCGUUCGUCUCCUUGGCGGCCUUGAUUUCGUCUUCGAGUUCAUGGAACCUGUUGUUGAGCCGCCCGAACUUGUUGAUGUUCAGCUGGUCCUCCCAUGUCACCUCCGUGUCAGGCCCUGCCCCCUGCCGCAUCUCUUCAGUCGCCGUUGGUGCUGAUAGACCAAGAAACCCUAGUUUGCG